rnacentral:lncRNA from 1 species
UUUUUUUUUUUUUUUUGUGCUGAUAGAGCAUGUACUGAGUUCAGUGAUCAAAGUCAUGAAAUAGACACACAGGUCAUUGUGUAUAAAUAUAGCUGUUAUUAUUUUGUAAUGUAGUUAUGACUACAGUAGUUACUACUCUGUGAUGGGGUUAUUACUCUGUGAUGACUCAAAAGCCUACUUAGACACUUGUAUGUAGUCUAUUAAGUUCAAAAUAACGAAUAUUUAUCACAGCACAUUGACGAAAUUCUGAUAGGUUCACAGACACAAAAGGUUAACAAUUGCUCGCAUACAAGCUAAUAACAUAGUCACUAUUUUGCUGUCACCUAUUAGUGUCAACAUUUAUAAAAUAACAGGUAUUAAUUUCAUAGUAUCAUAGAAUGUGUAGUCACUUACUGUAGGAGCAUAUGAAAACCAUAUCCACCUGAAGAUUGGGGAAAUAUACUUAAGAUGAUAGAAUAGAUAGCCCCUCUCAGUGAGCCUGUACUGGUGUGUUGGCAGUAUCUUUGUGUUUCUCCCAUACUUCCUCUUAGGAGUAGAUAAAAUCUUGUUCCUCCAGCUCUAAGUGAGGCCAGUGGCUGGGGCUUGCUUCUGUCACCAAUUCCUGUUUCAAAGUGGGCUCCCAGCAAUAUCUCUUAUGGCCCUCAUGCUCACCCCUCAUGGGGCAGUCCCCAGCCUUGUAUUAGUGAAUACACUUAGAAUCAAACACCAUUUGUUUCCUGUGUAAUAGAAGGAGGGAAUAAGAAAGUAAAUAUGUUAACAUUAAAUUCCAUUCGUUCUAAGAUUAUAGAUUAAAAUAAUAUAAAUGUAAGAGCUAACUGAAACCUCUUAGAAGAACACAUAGGAGUAAGUCUUUGUGAACUUAGACAGUUGUUUCUGAAAUAUAACAUGAAAAACAUAAGUAACAAAAUUAAAAAAAUGAAUCAGACUUCACCAAAACUAAAACUUUUUGUGCUUCAAAGAACACCACUGAGAAAAAGACAACCCACAAAAUGAGAGAAAAUACUUGCAAAUUACGUAUCUGAUAAGAGGUUUGUAUCCAGAGUAUAUUAAAAAAUUCUUACAACUCAACAACAAAAAGAUCAUCCCGUUAAAAAUUGGCCACAGAUUUGAGCAGACAUUUCUCCAAAGAAGUUAUACAAAUAGCCAAUAAACACAUGAGAAGACGCUCAAAAUCCUUAGCCAUUAGGGAAAUACAGAUCAAAAUCAUAAUGAAAUACCACUUCAUACCAACUACGAUAGCUAUAAUCAAAAAAUGGAAAAGAACAAGUGUUGGCAAGGAUAUGGAGGAAUUGAAACUUUCAUACCUUGCUGCUGGGAAUGUAAAAUGGUAUAACAGUUUGGCAGUUGCUCAAAAAGUUAAACAUAGUUACCAAAUGGCCAUUAAUUUCACUCCUAAGUAUUUACCCAGGAGAAUUGAAAACAUAUGUCUACACACAAACUUGUAUAUAAAUGUUUACAGCAGUAGUAUUAUUAUUUAGAAACAGCAUCUUGUUGUAUUGUCCAGUCUGGUCUUGAACUCCUAGUCUCAAGUGAUCCUUCUGCCUUGGCCUCUCAAAGUGCUGAGAUUACAGGUAUAAGCCACUGUGCCUGGCCUACAAUAGCAUUACUGAUAAUAGCUAAAAUAUGAAAAUUAUCCAAUAUCCAUCAACAGAUGGAUGGAUGUGAUACACACAAAAUGUGAUAGAUUCAUAAAGUAGAAUAUCAUUUGGACAGAAAAAAAUGAAAUUCUGAUACGUGCUAUAGCAUGGAUGACAUUUUGAAAACAUUAUGCUAAGUGACAGAAGCCAGACACAACAGGUCACAUUUUGUGUGAUU